AAUUAAUUAUUAUUUAAUAAACUUUUAUUACAUUAGAUUGCAUCCACAGCUGUGGUGGUAUAUUGAGCGAUUUAUUUGUGUGUGUCCGUGUGAGAUCUAUAGUCCGUUGGAUGGUCCCAGUUGUUAGCGCUUGGCGGUGUUGAGGCGUUUUUGGUUGCAGGUCUGCCGCCAGAGGCUCGACUGCGCUGACAGUACCGCCACAACCCUGAUUAUAUUAAAACUAGAAAUGACCUAGCCCUGUGUUAUGUCCUGCGAGGUUACUAGAUUCGCCGAUGAUGACACCUCGUGAACAAGUGGGUUGUUUAUUGUCACGCGGGAUUUUAUUUUAUAAUUUAAUUUGAAAUAUACUUAAAAAUGACUGAUUGAUAUUGUGUGGCAAGGUAUGAUUUUAAAUGAUAAGAGUUCAAUUGAACUUAAUGUUGAUGUUUAUUUAGAAAUCGGAGAGAUGGAGUGAAUAGUUACAGCUCUCGGGGAGAAGUGAAGUCACAAAGUCUCAACUCUGACUGCUCAGCUUCACGUUCCCCCACUAUGGUUACACGUAUACACCUAUACUAUUGCUAGAACUACCCUUAUACAUAGUGCGUAAUAUACUAUCUUACAUGUACUUAUAUAAACUUAUUUAUAUAUGACACUUAUUAUUUGCGGCUGCGGCCGGCUUACAUAUUCAUGUACCUGUAUUUACCUGGCUUUAAAUUCAGCACAGCGACCUAGGGAAACCGCAGAAAACCUGGUCGAGGCUUUUAAGGUAUUAUCUGCUCAAUAAAUUAUAUCAGAUGCGGAA